UACUCCUAAAUUUCGCCUACCCGGCCUACGUUUGCCUACCCGCUUGACGACAUAUCGCAUUCAACAUCAACAAUGUAUCAAAAAUAUCAUAAUAUUCACUUCUAUCAAUUUUUGGUUCCCGUCCCCAAAUUUAUUUCAAACAAUAUGAUUAAACAUGCUUCGAUUUAUCAAUUCACUUUUCAAAGUCCGAAACCAACAUCAACCAACACAAAACACAUAUUCGAACAUACCAAACACGCAACAAAUAAAUCAUCCACACCGACAACAUCACGAAAAGUCAAAAAUAAAUUAAAGAUUCGGUUAGAAGAAAUGGACCUCGAUGAAAUUAAUCCUUGUCGAUAAUAAAGAAAUCCGAAGACCAAAAUACUCGAUCGGAGAACCUUAUAACGAACAACU
rnacentral:lncRNA from 1 species